rnacentral:lncRNA from 1 species
GACACUGCUGGCUGCCUUAAUGGCGUCUGUGUCCUGCCACCAGUUACAAUUGUCCCUACGUGCAACUGUACUACAGGUUUCCAGACGACUCUAACCGACCCGAAUGUGUGCUCCAAUAUUGACGAGUGUUCAGAAAAUAAUUACCUCUGUGGGGUGAGUUAUGAGCCCAAUCUCCACACCUAUGUGCCCAGUGGGAGAUGUGUCGACACUGCGGGGUCGUACGGCUGUCUGUGCAACCCCAACCUAUCCCUGCCAUCCUUCGACAACAGGACCUGUUUCCCCCAGCCUGUUCAACAGCAGCAGC